GACGAACGCUGGCGGCGUGCUUAACACAUGCAAGUCGAACGGAAAGGCCCUGCUUUUGUGGGGUGCUCGAGUGGCGAACGGGUGAGUAACACGUGAGUAACCUGCCCUUGACUUUGGGAUAACUUCAGGAAACUGGGGCUAAUACCGGAUAGGAGCUCCUGCUGCAUGGUGGGGGUUGGAAAGUUUCGGCGGUUGGGGAUGGACUCGCGGCUUAUCAGCUUGUUGGUGGGGUAGUGGCUUACCAAGGCUUUGACGGGUAGCCCGCCUGAGAGGGUGAACGGGCACAAUGGUACUGAGAGACGGCCCAGAGGCCUACAGGAGGCAGCAGUGGGGAAUAUGGCACAAUGGGCGGAAGCCUGAUGCAGAAACGCCGCGUUCGGGAUGACGGCCUUCGGGGUGUAAACCGCUUUCGCCUGAGACGAAGCGUGAGUGACGGUAAUGGGUGAAGAAGCACCGGCUAACUACGUG
rnacentral:rRNA from 1 species